GCGACGGUGGUAUAAUGUUUAGCAUAGCUGCCUUCCAAGCAAUUGACCCGGGUUCGAUUCCUGGCCAUUUUA
rnacentral:tRNA from 1 species